UACGUAGGGUGCAAGCGUUAAUCGGAAUUACUGGGCGUAAAGCGUGCGCAGGCGGCUAUGCAAGACAGAUGUGAAAUCCCCGGGCUCAACCUGGGAACUGCAUUUGUGACUGCAUGGCUAGAGUACGGUAGAGGGGGAUGGAAUUCCGCGUGUAGCAGUGAAAUGCGUAGAUAUGCGGAGGAACACCGAUGGCGAAGGCAAUCCCCUGGACCUGUACUGACGCUCAUGUACGAAAGCGUGGGGAGCAAACAGG
rnacentral:rRNA from 1 species